rnacentral:lncRNA from 8 species
GGGAGAGUAUGGGAGAGGGACAGUGGGGUUCAAGACAUGACGUACUAACACUGCCCUGGGGUCAGAUCACUUUCUCAACAUGACUAACCAAUCAACCACUACUAUUAAUAAAAUAUUUCUUUGCUGUCCUCACGAUCUACCUCACUAUCUACCUCUUUACCUCACUCCCUCACUAUCUACCUCUCUUCCUCACUAUCUAUCUCUCUACCUCACUCCCUCACUAUCUACCUCUCUGUACCUCUCUCUCUCUACCUCUCUUCCUCACUAUCUACCUCUCUCCCUCACUAUCUACCUCUCUCCCUCACUAUCUACCUCUCUACCUCUCUCCCUCACUAUCUCCCUCUCUCAAUCACUAUCUACCUCUCUCCCUCACUAUCUACCUCUCUACCCCGCUCCCUCACUAUCUACCUCUCUACCUCUCUCCCUCACAAUCUACCUCUCUCCCUCACUAUCUACCUCUCUCCUUCACUCCCUCACUAUCUACCUCUCUCCUCUCUCCCUCACUAUCUACCUCUCUCCCUCACUAUCUACCUCUCUCCCUCACUAUCUAAUUCUCUACCUCUCUCCCUCACUAUCUACCUCUCUACCUCACUAUCUACCUCUCUCCCUCACUAUCUACAUCUCUCCCUCACUAUCUACAUCUCUCCCUCACUAUCUACCUCUCUACCUCACUCCCUCACGUUCUACCUCUCUACCUCACUCACUCACUAUCUACCUCUCUACCUCACUAUCUCCCUCACUAUCUACCUCUCUACCUCUCACCCUCACGAUCUACCUCCCUACCUCUCACCCUCACUAUCUGCCUAUCUACCUCUCCCUCACUCUCUACCUCUCUUCCUCACUAUCUACCUCUCUCCCUCACUAUCUACCUCUCUCCCUCACUAUCUACCUCUCUACCUCUCUAUCUCCCUCUCUCAAUCACUAUCNNNNNNNNNNNNNNNNNNNNNNNNNNNNNNNNNNNNNNNNNNNNNNNNNNNNNNNNNNNNNNNNNNNUAUCUGCCUAUCUACCUCUCUACCUUUCUACCUCUCUACCUCUCUACCUCACUAUCUACCUCUCUACCUCUUUCCCUCACUAUCUACCUCUCUACCUCUUUCCCUUACUAUCUACCUCUCUCCCUCACUAUCUCCCUCUCUACCUCUCUCCCUCACUAUCUACCUCUCUACCUCACUAUUUACCUCUCUACCUCUCUCCCUCACUAUCUCCCUCUCUCCCUCACUAUCUACCUCUCUAUCUCACUCCCUCACUAUCUACCUCACUACCUCACUAUCUCCCUCUCUCCCUCACUAUCUACCUCUCUACCUCUCUCUCUCCCUCUCUCAAUCACUAUCUACCUCUCUCCCUCACUAUCUACUUCUCUACCCCGCUCCCUCACUAUCUACCUCUCUCUCUCUCCCUCACAAUCUACCUCUCUCCCUCACUAUCUACCUCUCUCCCUCACUCCCUCACUAUCUACCUCUCUCUCUCUCCCUCACUAUCUACCUCUCUAUCUACCUCACUCCCUCACUAUCUACCUCUCUACCUCUCUCCCUCACUAUCUACCUCUCUACCUCUCUCCCUCACUAUCUACCUCUCUAUCUCUCUCCCUCACUAUCUACCUCUCUCUCUCCCUCUCUACCUCUCUCCCUCACUAUCUACCUCUCUACCUCACUCCCUCACUAUCUACCUCUCUACCUCACUCCCUCACUAUCUACCUCUCUCUCUCACUCUCUACCUCUCUCCCUCACUAUCUACCUCUCUCCCUCACUAUCUACCUCUCUCUCUCCCUCACUAUCUAAUUCUCUACCUCUCUCCCUCACUAUCUACCUCUCUACCUCACUAUCUACCUCUCUACCUCACUCCCUUACUAUCUACCUCUCUACCACUCUCCCUCACUAUUUACCUCUCUCCCUCACUAUCUACCUCUCUCCCUCAUUAUCUACCUCUCUACCUCACUCCCUCACUAUCUACCUCUCUCCCUCAUUAUCUACUGCUCUACCUCACUCCCUCACUAUCUACCUCUCUCUACCUCUCUCUCUCUCUACCUCUCUCCCUCACUAUCUCCCUCUCUACCUCUCUCCCUCACUAUCUACCUCUCUACCUCUCUCUCACUCUCUCACUCUCUCCCUCUCUCCCUCACUCUUUACCUCUACCUCUCUCUCACUCUCUACCUCUCCCUCACUCUCUACCUCUCCCUCACUCUCUACCUCUCUUCCUCACUAUCUACCUCUCUCCCUCACUAUCUACCUCUCUCCCUCACUAUCUACCUCUCUCCCUCACUAUCUACCUCUCUACCUCGCUCCCUCACUAUCUACCUCUCUCUCUCUCCCUCACAAUCUAGCUCUCUCCCUCACUAUCUACCUCUCUCCCUCACUCCCUCACUAUCUACCUCUCUCUCUCUCCCUCACUAUCUACCUCUCUAUCUACCUCACUCCCUCACUAUCUACCUCUCUACCACUCUCCCUCACUAUUUACCUCUCUACCUCUCUCCCUCACUAUCUACCACUCUCCCUCACUAUCUACCUCUCUCUACCUCUCUCUCUACCUCUCUCCCUCACUAUCUCCCUCUCUACCUCUCUCCCUCACUAUCUACCUCUCUACCUCGCUAUUUACGUCUCUACCUCUCUCCCUCACUAUCUCCCUCUCUCNNNNNNNNNNNNNNNNNNNNAGCUAAAUUGUCGCAAGUGAACUUUUAUUUAUUUAUUUUAUUUCACCUUUAUUUAACCUGGGUAGCAAAGAUUAUAGCAAACACCACUGAAACUGAAUUGGUGCUCGCUAGCUUUGCAAAUUCAGCUAUUGUUGGAAGCCAGCCAAUAUGAAACAAACUAUUAAAAUUACAAAAGGUUGCAACAUAUGUUGUGUAAAUGGUGAACUCAUACAGCUGUCAACUCUUGUCAUUUUAAUCCGUUUCACAUUUGCUAGCUACCUUUUAGAUCGAAGCCCAAAUAGAAUGAUUGAAGAUGAUAGAAGCCCAUCUCCUACUGUAAAUAACCUACACACUGUGUGUGUAGCCAGCCAGCCAGCCAGGUAGAAAAAUGGCAGAAAAAUAAAAGACGGACAUCAGAGUAUUUUUCAAUACACCAAAACGCAUAGUAAGAACCCUAGUAGCCUAAUAUCUCAAAGACUAGACCACUCUCAACUUAAACUGGUGACUGAACUAAGAUUUGUUAAAGGCAAUGGUAUUGCUGUUGUGAUUAGUUGUGUAGUUUUGGGUACCGGUAGUUAGGAGUACGGCAAACACCUUAUUUCUUUGGUUCCUCAAUAUACAUUUACCAUAUUACAAUGUAGGCUAUGUGUUACAGCACUACUUUUGGUGUCCCCCUCAGGAAUUGCUCUUGAGAAAAUGUCAUGUAAUUGUCCGCUCCAAAGUUGAUAUCAGAUUUUCGCCCCUGUAUCUACCUCUCUACCUCACACCUUCAUUAUCUACCUC